GAGGGUAUAGCUCAGUGGUAGAGCGCCUGCUUAGCGUGCACAAGGUCCUGGGUUCAAUCCCCAGUACCUCCA
rfam:Camelus ferus unplaced genomic scaffold scaffold692, whole genome shotgun sequence.